rnacentral:tRNA from 1 species
CGCUAAGAAGCUGAAACGGGCACAGCGUCAGCCUUUUAAGCUGAAGACUGGUGGUCCCCAACCACCCUUAGUGA